rnacentral:lncRNA from 1 species
GGAUAUGUUGUGGUAGAUGUUACAUGUUCAAAUUGUGUAACUCAGAAAAAUGUUAAGUGUACUCUACUUUUGGACUACAUGUACAAAUUUUAGUAUGAUACAUAACACCUUGAGUUUGACUUUUGAGAAUUUGGAGUUAAUUUGAAAUGCCUGUGUUAGCAGAUUAAAAGAUUGAUUAAACUAAACGUGGGUAGGUUGUUAGUAGAUGGAUAGAGUUUAAUAGCAUCUUGUGAACCGCGGCAUAAGAUGCUGAUAAAACCUAGCUCGACUACUGUACCCUUGUCUAGUUGAAGGGGGAUGGGGCUUUACAUUUAUUGGUAUUAGAGCCUAGGUUAAUAGAUCGUAGGGGCAUAAGCAUAGCAUAAUAAUUUUUAGUUGAUCUUUUUAAUUAUAUAUUAUAGAAAAAUGGUACAGACAAGAUCAGGGCUUGGUGGAGUCCAACCACCGAUGCAAAAUGGAGGCCAAGGAUGAGGCUCAAGCAGGGGUUGAGGCCAAGGCCAUG